rnacentral:rRNA from 1 species
CUAUGAGUAUUCUCAGGCGCUCGGGUGAUGAGUUGUUAAGGAACUAGGCAAAUUAACCCCGUAACUUCGGGAGAAGGGGUGCCCAUGCAAAUGGGCCGCAGUGAAUAGCGUCAGGCGACUGUUUAACAAAAACACAGGUCUCUGCUAAGUCGAAAACGAUGUAUAGGGGCUGACGCCUGCCCGGUGCCGGAAGGUUAAAGGGAGUGGUUAGCGCAAGCGAAGCUACGAACUGAAGCCCCGGUGAACGGCGGCCGUAACAAUAACGGUCCUAAGGUAGCAAAAUUCCUUGUCGGGUAAGUUCCGACCUGCACGAAUGGCGUAACGAUCUGACGACUGUCUCAACAACUCGCCCGGCGAAUUUGUGGUUCCGGUGAAGACGCCGGAUGCCCGCCACAAGACGGAAAGACCCCGUGCACCUUUACUAUACCCUAUCAGUGAAUUAUGGGUUGGACUGCGCAGGAUAGGUGGGAGGCUUUGAGAUCGGGUUUUUGGACUCGAUGGAGCCAACGGUGAGAUACCACCCUGUGUAAUCUGUGAUUCUAACCUGCUUCCAUGAUCUGGAAGAGGGACACUGGUAGGCGGGUAGUUUGACUAGGGCGGUCGCCUCCUAAAUUGUAACGGAGGCGCUCGAAGCUGCGUUCAGGUGGUUUGGAAAUCCACCGACGAGUGCAAAGGCAUAAACGCGGUUAACUGCGAGACCUACAAGUCAAGCAGGUGGGAAACCAGGACUUAGUGAUCCGGUGGUUCUGUAUGGAAGGGCCAUCGCUCAACGGAUAAAAGGUACGCCGGGGAUAACAGGCUGAUCGGAGUCAAGAGUUCACAUCGACGCUCCGGUUUGGCACCUCGAUGUCGGUUCAUCGCAUCCCGGGGGUGUAGAAGCUCCCAAGGGUUAGGCUGUUCGCCUAUUAAAGCGGUACGUGAACUGGGUUCAGAACGUCGCGAGACAGUUCGGUCCCUAUCUGUGGUGGGCGCAGGAAAUUUGAGGGGGCUUGGCCUUAGUACGAGAGGACCGGGCUGAACGAACCUCUUGUGAUACAGUUGUCACUCCAGUGGCACAGCUGUGUAGCGAAGUUCGGUUAGGAUAAGCGCUGAAUGCAUAUAAGUGCGAAACCUUCCCCAAGAUGAGAUUUCCCAACCGUAAGGUAAUAAGGGCCGUGGAAGACUACCACGUUGAUAGGACGGGUGUGUAAGAGUAGUAAUACUUUGAGCUAACCGUUACUAAUAGCCCUUUCGGCUUGACC